UUACGGUCAAAUCACGCUGAAAACACCGGUUCUCGUUCGAUCACCGAAUUUAAGCAUCGUAAAGCCAGGUCACCGAAAAACACCGGUUCAUUGAUGGGGACCGCUUGGGAACACCUGGUACUGUAAG